CAAUAGCGUAUAUUUAAGUUGCUGCAGUUAAAAAGCUCGUAGUUGGAUUUCGGGUGGGAAUGGCCGGUCCGCCGUUUCGGUGUGCACUUGCUACGCCCACCUUGCUGCCGGGGACGUGCUCUUGAGUUCACGCUCGGGACACGGAGUCGGCGAGGUUACUUUGAGUAAAUUAGAGUGUUCAAAGCAGGCCUACGCUCUGAAUACAUUAGCGUGGAAUAACACGAUAGGACUCUGGCCUAUCUUGUUGGUCUGUAGGACCGGAGUAAUGAUUAAGAGGGACAGUCGGGGGGCAUUCGUAUUUCAUUGUCAGAGGUGAAAUUCUUGGAUUUAUGAAAGACGAACUACUGCGAAAGCAUUUGCCAAGGAUGUUUUCAUUAA
rnacentral:rRNA from 1 species